rfam:Gymnopus luxurians FD-317 M1 unplaced genomic scaffold GYMLTscaffold_10, whole genome shotgun sequence.
UCCGAUAUGGUGUAGUGGCUAACAUUAUCGCCUCUCAUUACAGGGAAAGCGCGAUAGCCCGGGGUUCGAUUCCCCGUGUCGGAA